rnacentral:lncRNA from 1 species
UUUCUAUUUUUUUUUUAAAUUUUCUCUUUUCUCCUUUGUUUUAAUUGGUUUAAAAAAGCUUUUUUGCAUUUAAAAAUUCUGAAAAUUUUAUCAAAUGUUUCUUAUUUUAUUUCUAACCUUUCAUAAUUUUCUUGUCCAUUUAUUUGGUGUUUUGAAAGACUUUAUGGAUUUUCUAUUUUAUUUCUAUUUUAAAAAUACCUUUGAUGCAUUUUUAUUUCAUUUAAUUGAAUUUUAUAUUUGUGUGACCUUAUGAACUUC